rnacentral:lncRNA from 1 species
UUGUGAUUCCACAGCAUGAUGUUUUCUGGAUGCCACAGAUGUGCUGUGUCCGUGGAGGGGUACAGAUAUAAGGCAACAACUCCUCCCUGGAGCCUCUCGUGGGGCUUAUCCCUGCUCUGAAAGGGCUCCUUUAAAGAACUGAACUACGUCCACCAAGCUGCAAAGGAUCCUGGGAAGGCGACCUUCUUUAUCUGGGUGGUUUCAUCUCUGAAUGAAAUGAAAGUCCUGUAGGUAAAGAAGAACAAUAACUAGAAGAGGACCUAAGU